rnacentral:rRNA from 1 species
CCUACGGGUGGCAGCAGUGGGGAAUAUUGGUCAAUGGACGCAACUCUUACCCAGCAAUGCCGCGUGAAUGAAGAAGGUCCUCGGAUUUUUAAGCUCUUUUAUUGGGGACGAAAAAAAUGACGGUACCCAAGGAAUAAGCCCCGGCUAACUACGUGCCAGCCGCCGCGGUAAUACGUAGGGCGCAAGAGUUGUUCGGAAUGACAGGGUGUAAAGGGUGUGUAGGCGGUGUAGCAAGUUAGAAGUGAAAUACCUAGAGCUUAACUCAGGUGCUGCUUCUAAAACUGGUAUACUUGAGUGCAGUAGAGGUAAGUGGAAUGCGUAGUGUAGCGGUGGAAUGCGUAGAGAUUAGGAGGAACAUCAGUGGCGAAGGCGACUUUCUGGACUGUAACUGACGCUGAGGCACGAAAGUGUGGGGAGCGAACAGGAUUAGAUACCCGAGUAGUC